rnacentral:rRNA from 1 species
UACAGAGGUCUCAAGCGUUGUUCGGAUUCAUUGGGCGUAAAGGGUGCGUAGGCGGCGCGGUAAGUCGGGUGUGAAAUCUCGGAGCUUAACUCCGAAACUGCAUUCGAUACUGCCGUGCUUGAGGACUGGAGAGGAGACUGGAAUUUACGGUGUAGCAGUGAAAUGCGUAGAUAUCGAGAGGAACACCUGCGGCGAAGGCGGGUUGCUGGGCUGACACUGACGCUGAGGCGCGAAAGCUAGGGGAGCGAACGGG